GACGAACGCUGGCGGCGUGCUUAACACAUGCAAGUCGAACGGAAAGUCCCCCUUGUGGGGUACUCGAGUGGCGAACGGGUGAGUAACACGUGAGUAACCUACCCUUGACUUUGGGAUAACUUCAGGAAACAGGGGCUAAUACCGGAUAGGAGCUCCUGCUGCAUGGGGGGGGGUGGAAAGUUUCGGCGGUUGGGGAUGGACUCGCGGCUUAUCAGCUUGUUGGUGGGGUAGUGGCUCACCAAGGCUUUGACGGGUAGCCGGCCUGAGAGGGUGACCGGCCACAUUGGGACUGAGAUACGGCCCAGACUCCUACGGGAGGCAGCAGUGGGGAAUAUUGCACAAUGGGCGGAAGCCUGAUGCAGCAACGCCGCGUGCGGGAUGACGGCCUUCGGGUUGUAAACCGCUUUCGCCUGUGGCGAAGCGUGAGUGACGGUAAUGGGUAAAGAAGCACCGGCUAACUACGUG
rnacentral:rRNA from 1 species